AAUCAUUCGUCGUCAGCGAGCCGGGUUCGGUCUCUCUUGAACAUGCAACUGAACAAGAGUUGGAACAGAUGGAUGAGGAUGGGGAACCAAUUUUAAUCAAUGUAAAGGACACUAAUGAGCGUAAUUCGCAAGAACCAGAAAAUGAAACGAAAAAUCAAAGAGAGACUAAAGAAGAAUCAUUAACACCGGAAGUGGAAAGGACAAGCGUCGAAUUGAAUGACAAGGGAACAAAAGAUUGAUUAAAAUAUAUUUCAGCACUGAACGAAAAAAAAACAACAACCCAGUACAUCUAUUCUGUGUUUUGCGAAGAAAUAAGAGAACACAGUAUUAUAUAUCUGAUGCCCCUCCAGUCAGAUUCAGAUACGUAGAGGAGUUAUGAUACAUCAUUUUCUUUUUGUUUCCUUUCUUCUGAUGUUGAGUGCACCUGAUCGUUAUCUUAAGCAAGGCAAUAUAUUGUCUUAAUGUUGAGUGUGUUCCUACAAAUGUCUUGUACUAUGGGUAUGUUAUAUCAUACAGUCACUUCUCUCCCCCGUACAAACAUUGACGUGAUGGCAUUAUCAGAGAUCUCAUGAAUGUGGGCUUGUGCGCGUUUUUUAACCUUGAACUAGAGUAAGAGUAUGCAAAAAAAUAACCAACGAAGUGUGAAGGUCAUUUAAAUUAUUAUAAUACAUUUACAAUUUCCAGUGUCAUAUUGCGUGUGUGAUAUAACAUUAUCGAUUUUGUACUGUAUAGUCCAAUACAGUUCAUCCAUGACUAUUUUAAAUAUUUAAUCGUACAAUAAUUGAAAAUUAUAUAGAUAUAAGUAAUAAUGAAUCAUUCUUUGAAUAUUAUGAGGUGAUCAAAUACAGUCGGGCGUCAUCAAAUCUAUUACAUGUAUAAAGCCCGGCUUUAUUUUUAUUUGAUCACUCCCGACCGUAUUCAACGAUCACCUCAUAAUACCCAAAUAAUGAUUACAUAUUCCUUAAUUAAUUUGAACGAUAUUUCCAGUAUAUAAUACUUAUAACUUUUUAUAUUUUUGAAUCUUUAAAAAAUUUCAAAUAUCAGU
rnacentral:misc_RNA from 1 species